AGUGGGGCACAAUCCACAGAUCUACCAUCAUUAUGGAAAGAUGGUCCUGCUCUGUUGUGUUUUCAGGAAAAACGAAAGGGCUCCCAGGCCUGCUUGAUGCUUCCAGAUGCCUGGUGACAGGAAUCAAGAACCAGGGAAAGGCCUCAGGAUGCUGAGUUCAGAAAUUGUGAGGAUCGAGGGGUGAGAAAUCGAAAGUAGGUAAUUACCUUGGAGAGAUCAGCAGCAACACCUCCCACUUAGUAACCUCACCCGAACAGAGACAGCUCAGAUGAUAACUGAGACACACAUUUAAAACAUUUCCUCUGCUGCUUUCAUUUCCUAAUGUCCUGGGGCCAACCUGAGGCUCAUCUGAGGGAGGUGUCUGAGCUUCAUGCAAGAGCCUUGAUGUGUUCUAAUGGCUAAUGCAGAGUCUUUGCUCACAUGUCUAC
rnacentral:lncRNA from 1 species